UUGUUCCUCACGAUACAUGUGUAAAUAUGUGUACGAAAAAAUAAAUUCCUAUGCCCUAGAUUUUAAUGAAUGUUUUUUUAAUGUUGUUUCUACACCACGUUUACCAUUUCUAAAGCUAUUAUAUUAUUAUAUUAUUUACGUAAAAUUCUGCGUGACUUCUACGUGCUUUAAUGGACGAGCGCGCGCUGAACUGGAGUGGAGGAAGUCACCAUGGAAACGGGGCGGCAGCUCAACUGUCAAGCAGCAACUUCGUCUUUCACUGUUGUUUUUACUAAUUUCAGAAAUGGUUUAGUGUCUUCGGAAAAAGUCCGUUAGCAUCUCAACCGUGAGCUAACUAUAAGAGAAGCGUCAGAAAAAACCCUCUAUUACACAGAAGUUCCUGAUUUUAACAUUUCUGAAGGGAGCUGCUGACAGAGAAAUACACAUCACAGAUUCUUCCAUGCUGACGGCCGUGCACAAGAGUUAGAGCGUAUCUCCUGUCGAAGAACAUCUCUAGACAUUAUGAACCAUCUGUCUAAGACUGAAAAUCAUCAAUAAACCAAAAGUUUGGUUUAGCUCCAACCCCAAUUAAGCAGACCUGAGCAGCUGAUCAAGGAUCACCAGAAACUCUGCAGAAGGUUGGUCCUCCAUGCCCAGGACUGGACACCAGUGUUAUGCUGGUGAAAAAACCGCCAGGCUAAAGCAUUCAAAGUGGAAACUUCUGUUGUGGCUCAAUAAUCCAGGAUUGUGAUGGUGGAAGGAGCAGAAGAACAGAGAUCAGGCAGAGAUCUACUGGUGCGUCUGAGGAAACAGAUCUACCUCAUGUCUUAGUUAAACCAAAGAUUCUCAUCACUCACCUCCAUGCCGUUCCGAACCUGUAAGACUUUUGUUCAUCUUUGAAACAUAAAUGUAUAUCUUUUUAAUGAAAUCUGAGAAAUUUCUGCCCCUCCAUUUUACAGUUUAUGCAACUACCACUUUCAAGCCUCAGA